AAUUGUGAGACCUCUGCGGCCGUGGAUGUUCUCCGAGGCCUUUAAAUUCUAGAUUGGUCUCUUUGUCUAUACGCUUCGGCACUCAAGAAGUCUGGUGUUCGACUGGAUUUGUGCGUCUGAGGCGAUCUUUUCACAUUGUAUGCUGGGAAUUCAGUCUAUGUGGGUUUUUUAAAUCCGUCUGAAACAGAAAUAAACAAUGAAGAUGAUAGGAGGAAACAAAGGAUGGUAAACCAAGAGAAGCACUAUUUAAAGGUCAAGAAAUGCAGCAGGUUCCUGAGUAGCUUAUGAAGGGAAAGUAUAACACGGCAAGGAGGAAGAGUUUUAGACAGCUUGAGAAAACUUAUUAUCAGCGGUAUGGAUUCUAUUGGAGUGUCUCCGUUGGAGGAGGGAAAGGAUAACACACAGCAAGGAGGAAAAUAUUUAGGCAGCUUGAGCAAGCUUACUAUCAAUGCGAUGGAUACCAUUGGAAAGCAUGCAGACACAAACAGUUUCAUAUUUCUUGCGAUGAUUCUCAUACCUUACUAUGCUGGUUUGCUCUCUUUUAUAGUGUUUAUCACCAAAACCCUAGGCUCUGCCUGCUUCGAUGAGUUUCCUUUCGAUGUUGUAUUUCCUGUCGCAUACUCUACUGUGACAGUAGUACUUGCAAUCACUGUGUUUGGAGGGUCCAACCGUACAAAAAUCCUUGCCUUGAGGACAUCAGUGGGAUUCCACACUUUGAGUUUCAUUGCACUAGUUUGCGUGAUAAUGCAGAAUUGGUCUGUAAUCAAUGUUGGAUUAGGAACUGUAGCACUGACAGGUUUCUUGUUUAUACAAAUUUAUAAUGUGGGUCAAGUGAAGAUUUCUUGAAAGAUGAAAUACGGGUUCUGUUGUAGCUUUCUUCCAUGUACAGAUUCAUAAUGUGUCAACUGAGGAUUUCUCGAAAAUUAUUAUCUAGUCUUCCUACAUUGUUAGCUAGGUUUUUAUGUGGGUUCUGUUGUAGCUUUCUUCCAUAUACAGAUUCAUAAUGUUGGUCAACUGAAGAUUUCUUGAAAAUGAUUAUUUAGUAUUC